CGCUACGGCCAUACCAGCGAGAAAGCUUCAGAUCCCAUCAGAACUCUGCAAAUAAGCUCGUUUGGGCGCCACUAGUAACAGGGUUAGUAAUAACCUGUGAACCUGGUGUGCUGUAGUGC
rnacentral:rRNA from 1 species